CCUGAGCCGGGCAUUGAACUUGGAUAGAUCCUUCACUGCAGUACCACAGUUUAACCACUGCACCACGAUGAUAUUCUGAAUUUAAACUAACCAGUUAACAAGGAAAAUAAAUGACUUUUUUUUCUUUCCCACCACUUGUCAUUUGGGUUUCAGAUUCUCACAAACCUCACACAAUCAUAUAUUGUGAUGACAACAUAUCUCCGGACAUUGUGAAGCUUCAGACAACCACAGCCAUCCCUGUGGCUUCCACAACACCUUAUUCUGUGCAUAAAUCUACAGCCUGCAUAACAAGGACUCCCUCAGCAGAAACCCUAAAUGCUACGCAAAGUCCAUCUAAUAUCACUUAUCCAACAAUCCGUCCCUCAUCCAACAGCACUGGUGAUACGUCACCCUCAAAGCCUCUCUGUUUGCAGGGCUGGGCCAUCUUCCUCCUCUCUUUAGCUGCUAUACUGACAGUAUUCCUGCUGGCUGGUAUCCCAAUGAUGGUAAGUCUUCCAAAUACAGAUUAAUUACUAAGAAUGAGUCGGAUCCAGAUCUAGGCACAACAUGGGUCUGUUGUAAGCACAACUAGUUCUAGUUCUAAUCUGUUGAGUUGUCCCUGUUUGAAGCUACCAUAAUAAUGUCAUUUAUGUCUCCCUAUGAUUUUUCUUUUCAGGUGUAUUGCUUCUUCCACUGCCGGCGCCUACAGCCCCAGCAAUGCCCGCGAUAUAACCGUAAAGUCUACGUGCCUCCUGGGGACCAUACCAUACAGCUAGAGUGAGGAGAAACUCAGAAAGAAUAUUGGUGCCCCGGACCAGAAUCUUCGGAUCCUCUCUUCGGUGCUCACAAUGAUUCUCUGUAUUGAUGGGAUAUUAUUAUUAUUAUUAUUUAUUUAUUUGCAAUGCACUCACAACAGAAAUGGAGGCUCAUUCUGAUUUUAGCAGGAUUUUUUUUUAAAUCAGAAAGAGAAAGGGGGAAAAUGAAAUUGAAAUAUGUUAAGUAAACAUCUGUCACUUAAGGUUGGGAUGGCCAAUCUCCAAGAAGGCCGCCCCUCCAAUUCCCAGUUGCCACUAGUGCUGACAAGAUGCAACAGUCCAGGGGAAUCUUUCCAUUUGGCAAUAGUCCAGAAGGCAUCAACAAUACCCCAAACACAGCCAAUCUGAUUUUGGAAGCUAAGCAGGUCCAGGCCUGG
rnacentral:lncRNA from 1 species